UAAUUUAAUGACUAUAUCAAGUCGUUUUUAUUAAAAAAAAUCAUAAUAAUGUAAUUUAUUAAUUGACACUGAUUAUCCUGUAUUUUUGUUUGUUAUAAAAAAUAUCAUAUAUAACACAUUCCUUUAUCAUCAAGUAUAAGAUGUUUGUACAAUAGGAAAUAUACAAGCAAGUUCGGUCAAAAGCACAAAUAAGGCUCUGCUUCACCACAAAGUUAAAAUAUAUAUAUAAAGUUAUGCAAUUUAACUUUGUCCUUAAUUUGCCCAGGAACAGAUAAUAUAUUUAUGAGACCAAAGAUUGUCCACUCCAUAAGACAUUACCGAAAACAAACUAUAUCCACUGUAACCACUACUACCACAUAACAGCCAGCGGUGAUUUUCAGAAGGACUUGCCGAGAUCAAGCUGCGUUGGGCGGGGUACAUGAACGCUGAGUAUCCGGUGGUUGUUUGGAUCAGAACUCCGAAAGAGUCGGAGCAGAUUUUUUAAUAAACGCUAUCUUUAUUAACCGACCGCACAUUUGAUCUUUUUAUACAUACAUUCUCGCCUAAAUAUCUUUUGAAUAUACAUUUUGUGACACAAUAAGAGUAAUAUUUUAAACAUUAUGCAGGCGUUCUCUUCCAUUGGUGGCUGUCGUAGGUUCACACGAGUCAGCUGAUGACGUUUCACUUGGACAAACAACUAAGCAUUGUUGUAUAUUUUUUGCGUGUUUUAUUAUUAUUUUAUUAUUAUGAAAUUCGUGAACAUUAUUACUGAGCCUUGGCAGUCUAUUUUGUAUUUGUUUUAUUGAGGAGAAAAAAAACAGACAAGAACGCAUAUUGUGUUGCGCCUGCGCUGUGACGUUCUUUUUCCAACCGCAUUUCCAGUCAAGAGGUCAAGAAUGUUCCUGUCUGCAUCAGCUAUCCAUCUGAAAAAGAAAAGCUGGCACUCGCAAAAGAGAUUGUGUUGUUGGAUUAUGGUCUUAUUUGGUCAAAAUGAGGGAAAUGUACUUGGAUUUAUAAAAAUGAGACUACAGAACAUCAGACGGAAGCUUCAAUGGAGUUGAAGUGAGAGGACAUCAUCAAUAAAGAAUGCCAUUGACCAAACCUUCAGUCAUCAAAGGAGAUGGAUACAGGUGGACAUCGAGUUUUCCAGACUUACCGAUAGGAAAGAAGACACCUUUAUCAGGAAAUGGGAGGUGACAAUUAUUGAGAAACUCGGGGAAAUAGCAUCUUUAGAGAAGAAAAUGGACAUCAGACAUUCAUUGAAGAAAGCUGACAGUCAACAUAAUGAUGAGCUGUGUUAUACAAUGUUAAGUAUUCUCAUUCAUCUUCUGCUGUGUGAAUUCUGCUGUCUCAGACCUGUGGGACUUGGUGCCGGCUGGUACCAACGUGACCUCUUUGCUUACUUAAUGAGGAAAAGGUGUCUGAAAUCAGCUCAGCCACAGUUGGUUUCCAGCGGUUCUUCAGGACAUAGAGGCCACUACGUAAUUGUCGCAAUGAAUGAUUCUCUUGCCUUUCCACUUGAUGUUGACAAGCUGACCUGUGCGGUAGACAGACUUUUCAAAUUUACUAGCUAAGUAACCUUAAGUAUCCCUGCCAACUGUCUUCAGUUUUUUUUUGUAUGAAUAUGAUCUGCCCUUGUCCCAGUCCUCUUUCAAACGAUCUAAGGCAAUGGAGUUUCAAGAUGGACCGCAAAAUUGCUGUCUCUUUUAAACAAUGCAUGCACUAUGUGGCGGUUUCCCGGACAGGGAUUAGAGAAUAAAAGAUUUUUAAGAGCUGUCCAAA